rnacentral:rRNA from 1 species
GAAUUGACGGGGGCCCGCACAAGCGGUGGAGCAUGUGGUUUAAUUCGAUGCAACGCGAAGAACCUUACCUGGUCUUGACAUCCACAGAACUUUCCAGAGAUGGAUUGGUGCCUUCGGGAACUGUGAGACAGGUGCUGCAUGGCUGUCGUCAGCUCGUGUUGUGAAAUGUUGGGUUAAGUCCCGCAACGAGCGCAACCCUUAUCCUUUGUUGCCAGCGGUUAGGCCGGGAACUCAAAGGAGACUGCCAGUGAUAAACUGGAGGAAGGUGGGGAUGACGUCAAGUCAUCAUGGCCCUUACGACCAGGGCUACACACGUGCUACAAUGGCAUAUACAAAGAGAAGCGACCUCGCGAGAGCAAGCGGACCUCAUAAAGUAUGUCGUAGUCCGGAUUGGAGUCUGCAACUCGACUCCAUGAAGUCGGAAUCGCUAGUAAUCGUAGAUCAGAAUGCUACGGUGAAUACGUUCCCGGGCCUUGUACACACCGCCCGUCACACCAUGGGAGUGGGUUGCAAAAGAAGUAGGUAGCUUAACCUUCGGGAGGGCGCUUACCACUUUGUGAUUCAUGACUGGGGUGAAGUCGUAACAAGGUAACCGUAGGGGAACCUGCGGUUGGAUCACCUCCUUACCUUAAAGAA